rnacentral:misc_RNA from 1 species
GUUUUAUAUGCUUGUUAAAAAUCAUGUCGGUGGCUCUGUCAUGUUAUUACUUUGUGUGUUGGUUACUUUGUGGUUCUUCUAUCCAAAGAUGUUGCUUAAUAAUUUUACUAUUUAAUGGACUAAGAAAACUUUUGAUAUAAGUACUAGAACCCCGCUAAGGUUUAGUGUAAUUAACACUUAGGUCCAUGCUUUUAAAAAAUAUAUGCACUUUAUGACUUUGCUACCAUUGGUGCA